CCUACGGGCGGCAGCAGUGAGGAAUAUUGGUCAAUGGACGAGAGUCUGAACCAGCCAAGUAGCGUGAAGGAUGACUGCCCUAUGGGUUGUAAACUUCUUUUAUAUGGGAAUAAAAUGUUCCACGUGUGGGAUUUUGUAUGUACCAUAUGAAUAAGGAUCGGCUAACUCCGUGCCAGCAGCCGCGGUAAUACGGAGGAUCCGAGCGUUAUCCGGAUUUAUUGGGUUUAAAGGGAGCGUAGGUGGAUUGUUAAGUCAGUUGUGAAAGUUUGCGGCUCAACCGUAAAAAUGCAGUUGAAACUGGCAGUCUUGAGUACAGGAGAGGUGGGCGGAAUUCGUGGUGUAGCGGUGAAAUGCUUAGAUAUCACGAAGAACUCCGGUUGCGAAGGCAGUUCACUGGACUGCAACUGACACUGAGGCUCGAAAGUGUGGGUAUCAAACAGGAUUAGAUACCCCAGUAGUC
rnacentral:rRNA from 1 species